AGAGUUUGAUCCUGGCUCAGGAUGAACGUUGGCGGUGUGCCUAAUACACGCAAGUCGAACGGAGUUAAUAGCAAUAUUGACUUAGUGGCGAACGGGUGAGUAACGCGUUGGUGAUCUGCCUCGAAGUGUGGAAUAACGUUCCGAAAGGAACGCUAAUACCGCAUGUGCUCUCAAUUUUUAGAAACUUGAGAGUAAAGGAUUUAUUCGCUUCGAGAGGAGCCUGCGUCCCAUCAGCUGGUUGGUAGGGUAACGGCCUACCAAGGCUAUGACGGGUAGGGGACCUGAGAGGGUGGCCCCCCACAAUGGAACUGAAACACGGUCCAUACACCUACGGGUGGCAGCAGUAGGGAAUAUUAGAAAUGGACGAAAGUCUGAUCUAGCAACACCGCGUGUGCGAAGAAGGCCUUCGGGUCGUAAAGCACUUUUUGGAAGGAAUAGGAAGGAAUGUACUUCCAGAAUAGGUCUCGGCUAACUACGUGCCAGCAGCCGCGGUAACACGUAGGAGGCAAACGUUAUCCGGAUUUACUGGGCGUAAAGCGCGUGUAGGUGGUACUGUAAGUAGGGCGUGAAAGCUCCCGGCUCAACUGGGAGAGGCCGUUCUAAACUGCAGAACUAGAGGAUGGUAGAGGGAGGUGGAAUUCCAGGUGUAUGGCUGUAAUGCGCAGAUAUCUGGAGGAACAGCAGUGACGAACGCUGACUCCUGUACCAUUCCUGACACUCACACACGAAAGCUAGGGUAGCAAACGGGAUUAGAGACCCCGGUAGUCCUAGCCCUAAACGAUGUAGACUAGGCGUCGGUGGUUUAAUCACCAUCGGUGUCCAAGCUAACGCGAUAAGUCUACCGCCUGGGGACUACGGCCGCAAGGUUAAAACUCAAAUGAAUUGACGG
rnacentral:rRNA from 1 species